GUGAGAUAGCUACACAACGUGUGCAUCAGUGUUUAUUUUAAUGAAAGGGAUUUCCUGGCACAUUGUCAGCUAAAUGUUUUAUACUGAGAAAUGCCUGGAAAAGAAUUAAGCAUAUUAAAACCAGCCUUUUGCAGGGAUUAUGAUUUUGUUUUUAAGUCUCCGUGACAGAAAGUGUGUAAAUGGAACUGCAUCCAGUAAAACACAAUAAUUUAUUCUAGAAAUUAGCAAGCCCACGUUCCACCUAUAAAACCAUUCUCUGUGAUGUGCGACUGGCCUUCAUUUUCAGCGGCCUUGAUUUAUAGUUAGAAUUUGUUUUAUUUUCAAGGGGUAGAGACUGGGAAGCAGCCGGACAGAGCUAUUAAAGCUGUUGCGCACAGCAAUUUUUCAGGGGUUUAUUAAUUCUUACAGAGAAUAAGCCAAUGAACUGAACAUUUUUCAGUGUAAGAACACCUUCCCUAAAUGGAAGGUUUUUUGAUGAAUAGAUAUAGACAGCGCAAAACAAAACAUAUGGGUGUUUGUUGUGUGAAUUUAACCAUUUGUGUUUAGCUUCAUUCUCAGUUGCAAAGCCAGCUCAGAACAAGGGCUCAGGGUUAGCAAUCAUAUAAUCCCACUGAUGAUUGUGAUUUUGUCCAAGGUUUUCCUCCAUGCUCUCUCUGAUGCCUUAUCUAUGCAAAUUAGAAGCCUCAGAUUGUUACACAGAAGAAAAGACGGUUGGAUUAACUUAAUUCCAGUAACCAGGUAACACAAAUGUUCUCUAAAACAGAAAUGCUGAUAUUUUUAGUUAAUGUGGAAUCUGGCUUUGUGGCUUAUAACUUAUGGAAGUGAAUUCUAAUUAAAACCAUCUAAUUAAAGAUUGUUUCAGUCAGUAAAUCUAUUAAAAACAAAACUGUGCGUCAGCUACUCCAAAACUGCAACAUCUGCUUAAAAACUUUUGUUUCUUAAACUGUGUCUCACACAAAGUUUUCUUAUAUGGCUGAUUUCUAAACAUGUUAGCUGCUCCAGAAACAAAUGUUUUGAGGACUUCAGAUAGGACGGACCCAAAGAGGCGCAAGGGACUUUGAGAACAAAGUUGUUCAUUAGAUCACACACCAUUCAUCAAAAGCAAGCUGCUCCUCCUGGCCUCAAGCGAGGUGCCAAGUUCACCUGUUUUGAAUGCUGAGAGAACUGAAGGGACAGAUAUCUACUGACAAUCUGGACAGACCUGUGAUUCUGUAGGUCGUGUUAGCUGCUCACUUAAAUUUCAAAGGUCAUGCCUAAAGCUACUUCUUCCCUUUAGCUACCAUUGAAGAACACAGAUGGAUCAGAAAUAGGCUCUUAAUUCACAGGGUUCAACUACACAGUGUUUGAAGAAGGCAGAAUAAAAAUACCCUAUCAUGGUGUAAUUAAUAAUUGCUUAAAAACUUCCUUUGUUAAUGAGUAAAAUGGAUGAAAUAUUUAUUCAGUAAUUGAAGCCUUCUUUUAAUAAGGUCUUUUGUCACCUCUGUGUUAGUAGACAUUCAGAGACUAUACUCCAGGUCGAUACCUGGGAGCUAUUCAGGGAGCUCAGUUCCCAUUGCUGAAACAGUAUUUUGUGGCUUUCAUGUGACAGAAGGCACCCAGUGCUCUUUGGGAUUCAGCACAGUAUAACAAUGGGAGACAGAUGAGGCUGUGAGCAGCAGUGACCUGGCCUACUUGAACAGGUUAAUCUGGCAGUCCGUUGGGUUGCUGUUCUGCUCUCACUGUUGUAUUACAGUCCCAUACCUACCACUGUGGGUGCAGCAGAAGGAGGUGAAGAGAUCUGAAACCACAGGAGAUAUUCUUGUGUUGAUAAUGAAAAAAAAAAAAAUCACUGCAAAUGGUAGGGUGAAUAAAUUAUUUAUAUGAACAGCCUUUCCUCUUAAGGACUGGCUAUGCAAUUCAGUGCUCAGCAGGCUUGAUCAUACAAGCCUCCUAAACAUCAUGCUUGAGCCUGCACGUGGUUAUGUGGCAAUUUAUGAAGAGUUCAAGGGGAAUGCUAGCCAGGAUUGCAGCCAAUGAAACAACUCUGGGAAAUAAAUAAUAAUAAUUUAAAAAAAUAAAAAUAAAAAAGGCCCAGAGAGAGAAAAAAAGAAAAAUAAAAGGAAUAAUUUGCUUGUUAAUAAUAAUCCCAAUUGUUGGGCUUUUUAAGAAGGUGAAACGUUAAUCAUUGUCACGUCAGUGAUACUGCACUAAGGUUAAAGGCUUUUGCAGCUAAGUAAAACGACCCCCCCAGAAGCAGCACAUUCAGAGUUUUCUGGCAUUGUUUCAGAUAGUGUGUGUAUGAACCCUUCAGAGUUGUCAGCAAAACUCCCAGUUGUCUUAAAGUUUCCUUGAGGAGUCUUCGCAUUGAUGUGAAGAGAAGACAGGUUCAAGGAUUGGAAUCGUUCUUUCUUUUUGCCCUCUCAGCUACAACGAGGUUUCCUCUCUGAAGCACGCAGUAUUUUAGAAAGCAGCAUAGCUGUGCCACGUCUGUCUGGUACCACCUCAGCUUUACAUGAUCUUACAGCACAGCCCGAAUUGCAGAUUCAAACCAGUGAUGUUAAAGUUCAGAAUAUUUUCCUCUGAUCGGGCCAAAAGAAGUUGCUGAAAUUGAAGAAAGAAAAAAAAAAAAAAAAAGGAAAGAAAAGAAAGAAACAAAGAUGAGUAAAGUAAACUGGCUCACAGUAUAUCUCUUCCCUGCCAUGAAGUCACAUCCACACGGGGUAGGUAAGGAAAAAAAAAAAAAGAAGAAGAAGAAAAAGGAGGAGGAAGGAGGAUAUAUGAGUUCGUGGUCAAUGGGGCAGACACGUGAUUGCUAGCUUGAUACUUUGGGAAGAAAAAAGGUGUCCGAUGACCAUCAUUACUCAGAGCUAAGCACCUUUUUCCCUUUGUGUGAAACACACGGAAGACUUUUACUCCUUGAUGCCAAACAGCUCAAGAGAGACCAAGACUUCGAGUUCCUGGAAGAAUAAAACUUACAUUUUAAAAUCUGUGGUCUUUAACUUCCCAGCUCAUACAGAGGUAGCGGCAGCACUCCUCUGUGCAGCCAUAUCCCUUUGUGCCCUGUCAAAACCUCCUUAGCAAAAAUGCCUUGUUCUGGUGAAGUAGCUUAGCAGGGCUCUAUCUUGACCACCAGCAACACAGAACAAAGGGGUAACAAAAUUAAUGUGUUCUAUUAGUUAGUUUUGUUUUCCUCUCUUAUAGCUUUUACCUAUUUUUUUUUUUUUUUUUUUUAGCAAUAUGGGGUUUCUUUUCCCAGUCCAGAGAAAUCUUGUUCAUGUACACAUCAAAACAUUUGAUGGAAUAAAAAAGUUAUGUGCGAGAUUCAUUUGGUCUCUGCGCUUCCAGGAAUCAAUGAGACACCAUGGAGGCAUGUUCCCAGCUGGGGUGAAUUGCCAUCCCCACACCGAAGCCAGCGGACCAAUGACAGUUUAAGCCAGCCUGCUCCUUAGUGUAUGAGGGUUCAACUUCCUCCAACGCACACAUGCAAUCAGAAAAUACACUUUAAAAAUCUAAUAAUACUUACUUGAGGCUUUUAAACUCCUGAGGGGUAGAUAGAUACAAGGCAGUAAACCAGCAGAGGGAAAGAAAAACAGUUAAAAUAAACUAAUAAAAAAUCCUAUAGGAAGGAAAUGACACCCCCCACACACCCUCCCUCUCCUCCCUCCUCCCCCUUUAAAAGGGGAAAAAAUU
ensembl:lncRNA